rnacentral:lncRNA from 1 species
GAGUUGGUGAUGGACAGGGAGGCCUGGCGUGCUGCAAUUCAUGGGGUCCCAAAGAGUCGGACACGACUGAGCAGCUGAACUGAACUGAACUGAACUGAAAAACAAAACUGAAGAAAAUCACUUAAAUCUAUCCAUAGUUUAUGGAACAGGUAGGAGUAUUAAUAUAGAAACAUGGUUGAAAGGUCAAGAGUAGGAUAUUAGAUGCCACUGGUUUCAAACCCAUCCCUGGGCUGUCUUGAGGUCUGUAAUUAUUUUAGGACCCAGGAGGAGUCUGACUUUGAGUUGGAGGAGCAGCUAACAGAAAUCUCUUGCGGUUGGGCCAAGUUCCCACUCCUCUCCUGGAAGUCGGGAUGCGAUCUCCAUCUAGGGAGAUGCUUAGGUGAGUAGGAGGAGUGGCCUAUGAUGCAGGUGAAUGUGGAGGAAAGCACAGAAGGCAGCUGGUUCCUGAGAAAUGCCUCCCAAUGAUCAGCUCUUGCCCACCUCACUUCCUCCUCCAAACCUGGGUGGAAAUAUGAAGCCACCAUUCACUGGUGGUUACUCAUUCUGAUGACAGAAGCUGAUUGCAACAAAAUGUCAUUUCGCAGCUGUUUGUUUCCACUUCUACUUGCCUGGUCCUCCCGCCCUCCCCCGCCCCGCCCCAAUUCAGACUGAGCUGUCUACAUCAUUCCUUUUGUCUUUUCAGGUGGAGACGGCAUAAUGGUACCCAUGUCAGUGACAUAGAAGACUCUGUCCUCUCAGCCCUGGGCUUUGUCCCCAGGGGAAGGGGCAAGAGUCGACAGUUAUGGCGCAACGAAGUGACCCAGAAUGGACUUCCUUCCUUCACCUGGACUCUACGAGGAACUGGAGCUUUGGUACCAGCUGUGGCCCCUUGCACCCAUCAGCCUCCUCAGCAGACUAACUUGGAUGCCUCAGGCAUGACCUGCAACCAAGACUGGAAAAAGACAUAAUUUAAGAAACUGUCUCCAACCUGGAUGGAUGGACCUUUCUGUCAGAUACUGUUAACUGACUCAUGCGCAGUGAAAUGGAAGGGAAAUUGACUCUUAAAUUAACUCCCACUUCCAAAGGCCCCUAAGCUGGACUGGUCUAUAGAGAGGCCUGCUGACCUCAAACUCACUUUAAAACGAGUCUCAAAGAGGAAGCUGCACUACACUAGGGUCAGAAGACGACAAGAUCAGAAGUAGACAGCUUGCCCAAGAUGCUGGAUCUGAUUCAUAUGAUCAUUUACACUGUUUUCUUUAUUCCUUGGACCUGUGCCUAUCAGUCAAAUGGUUUGAAUCAUGGACAUGAUUCUACACUAGUUUAAAUCUCAAUUCAAUUGUUGAGUUGUGGCCAAUAACCUGUGUCUAGUAAUUCUGGGUUACCUUGGUGGAUUUCCCUCUUUCAAGACUCUGAUUGGAUACACCUUAGGAAAUUUAUUUUAGAUGAGAGUUCAGUCCUGUUCUGUCUAUUCAUGAUAUUACUAGAUGAGAUCCUCUCAUCUGGCCAAUUAAUAAUACCUGCUCUGAUCCUGGCCAUAGAUUUAAGUUUUCUUUUAGGGUCAUUCAAACUCAAUCAGAGUGAUGAGAGCUAAGUCUUAAUCAAAAAACUAACCUCUCAUCUCUUAAAAGGAAAACUCCCACAAUUAUGGGAUGAAUCUAUAGGCUUAACAUCAGACUAUGAUCAUUUAAAUUUAAAAGCUCCUCUAUGUUGGAAACAAUUAAAUCAUACUAAAAAUGACCAACCUGGUAAUAUUAUGAGACAAAGCUGGGUGCUUUACGAACUAUGCCUAUUAUUACCCUUAGAGAGAGAAAUUGGUAUGGAACUCAGUGGAUUUGUGGCACUAAUUUAUGGCCUUGAUAUCUACAGGGAUGGAUACAAAGGUGUAGCCUGGAUUUCCAUGAAUUUAAGGUCAUACACAUUAACAAAUUAGAGGUAACCCCAACCAAUCUACCAUUGGUAUGAUCCCAAUUGGUCAAAGCUCUGUAUUCUACUGGUAUAACCAUUUAGCAGCUUUUUGUGUGUGUGUGUCUUCAUUGAGGUUGGAGGAUAUAAUUGGCCAUAUCGAAGCCUUAACAACUUUCAUAAGCUUUAAAUGGUAGUAACUGGGCUAUUAGCGUAUUGAAUUCUGAGAUCUCUAUGAUAAGAAAGGCAGUGCUACACAACUGCAAGGCCCUUGACACUUUACAGCACCACAGGAAGAUAGCUGUGCUACAAUCCAAAGUGAAUGCUAUAUUUUCAUUCCUGAUAAAUCCUUUAAUGUAAUACAUUUUAUGAACCAUAUGAAAAAUCAUAUUUCUGCCUAAGUGACCCAUUCCCUAGUCUUGACAAUCUUUUAAAAAACUGGUUUGGUGUGGGAGGCUCAUGGCUAAAAUGUUUAGUUUUAAUUCCACUAAUGUCAUUAACUAUACUAUUUGUAUUUUGCCCGUUUCACAAGAUUAUUGUUUCUUGUAUUACCAAGUGUAUGACUGAGCCUCCAGUGAAAAUAAUGAUGACUAGACUUGAUAUAUAUAUGAUCAAUGAUUGUAAUAGUGUAACUCUAGAUAUGGGAAGAUGCAACAAAAGGGAAUACUUUCCUGGACCAUGACUAGAAGACAGGUGUCCAGCGAUCUUUGACUAUUAAGACCUAGUCCAAUAAUAGCACAUUGAGCGGCCUAUCAGCAAAAACUUUCAGAACUGGGAACGAGCCUUCCCAGUAAUGUGAGAAUGGUCAUGAAAGGCCCCCCAAGGUAUGGUCUGAUUUAUGACCACAAGGGGGCCGUGUCAACUACAAAUUGACACUUACCAAGAGCAUUGCCAACGACUGAACAGCAAAGGCAUCUGCCAUCUGCCUCUAUGAGACGGAACCCCACACUGCUGUAGCUGUUGACCUUCAACACCCCCUGAGGGAGUUCAGGGUGGAGUGAGGCACUCUGUGCUCCAGGGACAGGUCUUUAGAUAGUUGGAGGUUUUUAGGAACCGAUUUUAUGAUCUCAGUCCUUGCAUCUCCUUAUAUCUAGAGAAGCACUAAAUUCCUUCAUGGUGACAUUAGAGCCUCAGGACUAACAGAAAACCCUUUUGUAAACUGAGUGCUUAAUGGUAUUGAACUCCCCAUUCACCAAAACCUUAUAUAUUGACCUUACCCCACUGCCACUUUGGAGCAGUGUUUCAAAGCUACCUAAGAUGCCGCCUCCUGGGCUACAGUCCUCAUUUUUCCCCAGAUAAAAUUUAACUCACAACUCUCAAAAAAAAAAAAAAAAAAGUAUUUUAUUUUUUAAAUAGAAAAUCCAUGGUCAUGGUCCAAAACCCAAAAGAUAAGAGAAGGAUAUUUAGUGACAAAUCUUCUGCUGCCUCAUCCUCAACCAGUGUUCUCCCCAGUACUUUUCUUCAUUGUUACUAGUUUCUUUUAUUCCAACCAGAGAUUGUGUGUGUGUGUAUGAGUGUGUGAGUGUACGAGUGUGUCUUAAUUUAGGCUACCCUAGAAACAGACCUUGACAUAAGGAUUGAAAUGCGGCUAUUUAUCUGGGAAGUGCUCCCAGGAAACUUCUGCAGGGACUGGGGCAUGAGACUGGGGAGGGAAGGCAGCCAAUAAAGGGAAGAUCAUGUUGUAAAUCCCA